GAGUUUGAUCCUGGCUCAGAUUGAACGCUGGCGGCAUGCCUUACACAUGCAAGUCGAACGGCAGCAUGAUCUAGCUUGCUAGAUUGAUGGCGAGUGGCGAACGGGUGAGUAAUACAUCGGAACGUGCCCUGUAGUGGGGGAUAACUAGUCGAAAGAUUAGCUAAUACCGCAUACGACCUGAGGGUGAAAGUGGGGGACCGCAAGGCCUCAUGCUAUAGGAGCGGCCGAUGUCUGAUUAGCUAGUUGGUGGGGUAAAGGCCCACCAAGGCGACGAUCAGUAGCUGGUCUGAGAGGACGAUCAGCCACACUGGGACUGAGACACGGCCCAGACUCCUACGGGAGGCAGCAGUGGGAAUUUUGGACAAUGGGCGAAAGCCUGAUCCAGCAAUGCCGCGUGUGUGAAGAAGGCCUCGGUU
rnacentral:rRNA from 1 species